UACGAAGGGGGCUAGCGUUGCUCGGAAUUACUGGGCGUAAAGGGCGCGUAGGCGGACAGUUUAGUCAGAGGUGAAAGCCCAGGGCUCAACCUUGGAAUAGCCUUUGAUACUGGCUGUCUUGAGUUCGGGAGAGGUGAGUGGAAUGCCGAGUGUAGAGGUGAAAUUCGUAGAUAUUCGGCGGAACACCAGUGGCGAAGGCGACUCACUGGCCCGAUACUGACGCUCACACACGAAAGCCAGGGUAGCGAACGG
rnacentral:rRNA from 1 species